CUUCUUGGCCCGGCCCCUGACAGUGGUUGUCGCACGGCCGGCCGCAAGGCUGGCCGUGCCGGAAGCAAUGAGGCUUCCUGGGCUGACUGCAGCAGGCUGGCCAGCUGACAGCAGAGGUGGCUCUAGUAUAAUAGGCCAUCGCCUCAGUCCUCGCGUUAGUGGGGGGCCUCGCUCAGGGCCCCGACUAGCGCAAGUUACUCCUCACUCUCCGGCUGACCGCCGGGAUUGAAGUUUAAUACAGCAGUUCCGGUUCCAUCCUGCCUGCAGGCGGCGAGCCCCAGCGCUGCACCCGACCAGCCCCUGCUGAUCCUCUGCCACUUUAAGAGAAAGGGCUGCUGGGGCUGGUCGCCUGCCAUAGAAACUGCUGCUGGGGCUGGUCGCCUGCCAUAGAAACUGCUGUGAUUAGUUCCCUGACCUCCUGAACCCCCCCGCCCGCUGCUCACCUCAGAGAGACAACAUACGGACACUUCCUCACACCCUCUGUGGCUCUGCCUCCCCACCUGUAAGAGGAGCUCCAGGAUCCCCCAGUAACGGUGACGGCAUCUUUGUAAAAAGCAGCAGAGGAUGAGAAUGCGCUGACAGUGAGGAGACGUCUGGGCGUCACAUUCUACAGACAGAAGUUUUAGCUGGAACAAUUCCUGGCGGUUUAAUGGUGAAGAAUUGUCGCUGGAAGAAAUUGUCAUGAUGGCUGGGCCAGAUGGAGAAGAAAAGGGAACAACGCUGAUUAGAGAAGAUUUCAUUUGGGUGCUCCAGGAAAAAAAAUUUCGGAAGGGUGCCCCGAGCCGAAAAACAUUGGGAAAUACUGCACUACACAGUAUAUGAGUAUGUCUGCUUCCUGCCCUGUUUAUUGUGUAUAUGCCAGAUAUGCAGCUGUAGUAAACAGCUGAUUGGUGGGGUGUGCCGGAUGUUGGCACGCAUCCAUUAGAUAUUGACGGUCUUAAUGUUCUCUUAUUAAAUUAAAGUAAAAUACUCCUAUUAAAAUCACUCUUCAGACCAGUGGCGUACCAAGGGGGGGGCGGGGGGCGGCACGCCCCGGGUGCCACUCUCAAGGGGGGUGCCAGGGUCGGACUGACCCGCCGCCGCAACUACUGAGGAUCUGGGACACUCGUCCCAGAUCCC